ensembl:lncRNA
CAGUGAGUAAAUCAUAUACUAGAAGGACUCUUUUCUUUAAAAAAGAGUCUGCUAGUUGUAAGAUCUGACAAACUUUGCAGUGGUAAAAGCUACCAUGAAGGCUGAAUGAGUGAAACUAAGUCAGAUUAAGAAGAUGGAAAAGUCAGCCUUUGAAAACAACUAUGAAGGUAACAGAUUCUUUGUGUGGCAUGUGGAAUAUUUGAAGGGAAAAGAAGUGUCUCCAUCAGACAGAAAAGGGAAAGAUGUGAAGUUAUGAUAACAUUUAUAAAGAACUUCUCUUUCACGUUCUUUGUUAUCACUAGACAUCAAGUAACGUGUGACAACAGUACUUCCUGAAGUG